CACGUAGGGCGCGAGCGUUGUCCGGAAUUAUUGGGCGUAAAGAGCUCGUAGGCGGCCCGAUAAGUCUGCUGUGAAAGUCCAGGGCUCAACCCUGGAAUGCCGGUGGAUACUGUCGGGCUAGAGUUCGGAAGAGGCAAGUGGAAUUCCUGGUGUAGCGGUGGAAUGCGCAGAUAUCAGGAGGAACACCUAUAGCGAAGGCAGCUUGCUGGGACGACACUGACGCUGAGGCGCGAAAGCGUGGGGAGCGAACAGG
rnacentral:rRNA from 1 species